GUCAACAACCCCUCGGCUAAAGACCGAGGGGCUUGUAAGGGCAACCUUAUAAGCCCAGUUGACCAGGUUAGGUGGGAACGAGCUACGUUAGGGACGAAUAUAUAGGCACUCCGUCGAUGCUUCACCAGUUGCGGACUCUGCGGUAAGUCAUUAAACAAGCAUAAGGGUUUAAAGCUAGUGUGGCUUACAUACAAACCGUCUUAUAACAUUGCCGAGGUGAAUUUUAC
rfam:Candidatus Thiomargarita nelsonii contig_217, whole genome shotgun sequence.